UCCCCGGCGUGCGGGCUGGCUCGGGACCGGCCGGCGCGCGUGUGUUCGCGCAGCGGGAGGAGGGUGGGAGGGCGAUUGUGCCCAGGGCCGUGCGCGAGUCCCCGCCUGCCUGGAGGCGGGGAGGCGAGGCCGCGUGUGUGGAGGCAGCUCGCGGGCGGCGGAGGCCCCGGUGUUUGUGUUUGGGGUUUAUCAAUGUGGUGAAGCGCCCAUAAGUGCGGCCACGUGUGUGUUGAGGGAAAACUCAUAUGCGUGUUUGUCUGCAUAGGGUUCGUAGUUGCAUUUUUUUCGGCCUUCCAAUUUGUGUACUGUUGCGUUUGUCAUGCUCAGCUGUCACCGUGAAUUAACACCCCCCAGAUACAUGUAUGCAUGUGAGAUAAGUCUGCCACAGCCUAGAUGUAAUUGUGCAGAAUGUUCUUUUACACCUACCCAUUUCGAAGCACGUGUGUUUGCAUUUAUUUAAUGAAUAUACAGGGGGAGAGCAAUGCAGUUUGAAAAAGCACAGAAUAAACUGAAAUUCUUCAGCCCGGAGCUGUGUACCCAGCGGGCAGACGGCUCAGUCUGUGUAUGUUGUAUAAGUGUCUGGAAUGUACACCUGGUACCGCUCCACUGGCAUCCACAGUUUAAGAAAGUAAAUAGAAGCUUUCAAGGAGGAACAUGAUGUCUUCCUUGGAAGGACCCUUCAUUAGAAGAAAGAAUCCACCACCAGGUGUCUGCUAUUACAUUUCAACUAAUCAGUCCUAAACCGACUCUGCCACUGACUCUCUUCACGGGGGAAAAUUAGUAUUGAAUUUUUGGUAGUUCACUGAGAGAUUUUUGGCAAAAAAUCAUGCAUACAAAGCAUACAACCCAUGCUUCCAUUUACCUGCUGUCAUCCCGGUGGAAUGUUUCCCCAGUCUGACUGAAGUGUUCAUUGACGUCAGUGUUCAGGUUCAAUGGUAACGGUUGGAGAAGACAAGGGAACGAGAACCAGGAAGAGGAAGAGGUGCUGAGAACCGUGGCACAGCACGUAGGAGGUAGUGGAAUAACGCUGCAGUUUACUAGUUGGGGUUAGUAAUGUCCUUAUUUUCCCUCUCACUCUGAACCUUUGCCCUGGAUAAGGGCGGAGUUGAAUUUAGCUUUAAGAGGAGAUUAGUAAGAAGAGAAUAUGAAUGUUGGUUUGACAGGUGGGGUGCGGGAGGCCAUUAAAGCCCAGGGGCCAGCAGCCACGCUAGCGCUUGGUUUUUCUCCACUGUUCAAAACGCGGUGCUUGUAGAUUUCCAUUCUAGAAAAUUUUGUAACAAAAAGUAAGCAAUUUGAGUGUGAAUGUCUAGUAACAACGUGUUGGUGAGGAUGUUCUGCUUAGAAUUUGAUCUUUUUUUUAAGAGAA